CUGGUCUUGACAUCCACUGGAACGUUUCUCAGAAGAAUGGAAGUAUGUGUGCCUUCGGGAACCCGUGAGACAGGUGCUGCAUGGCUGUCGUCAGCUCCGUGUUGUGAAAUGUUGGGUUAAGUCCCGCAACGAGCGCAACCCUUAUCCUUUGUUGCCAGCGGUCCGGCCGGGAACUCAAAGGAGACUGCCAGUGAUAAACUGGAGGAAGGUGGGGAUGACGUCAAGUCAUCAUGGCCCUUACGACCAGGGCUACACACGUGCUACAAUGGCGCAUACAAAGAGAAGCGACCUCGCGAGAGCAAGCGGACCUCAUAAAGUGCGUCGUGAGUCCGGAUUGGAGUCUGCAACUCGACUCCAUGAAGUCGGAAUCGCUAGUAAUCGUGGAUCAGAAUGCCACGGU
rnacentral:rRNA from 1 species